rnacentral:rRNA from 1 species
UUUCGUUAUGUUGGUGUAUGUCUGAUUUAAUAUUAUUGCUUAAUGGUUUAAGUUUGUGUAUAUUUAUUUAAGUCAAGUCUAUGUGCUGCUUAUAAAAGUAUUCAUGCGUUACUUUAAUAAUAUGUUGGUUGAAAUAUUAAUUAAUUUAGGACUUAAUAGUAAUAUUUAAUUAAUUUGUAGAUGUGAAUAUAGUUUAGCUCAGGUACACACCGCCCGUCACCCUCGGUU